ACUCAGCAAGUGAAUAGAGCAGGAAUCGGGGGUCUCAUCUCCCCCAGUCCCCUUUUCUCUCCAGCAAGGAGGCUUUUCAACGAGAAUUCUGAGACAAGAGGACAGGGGAGAGGCCAAGGGGCAGCUCACAGAUUCCACCGAGGAGUCGGGAGAGGGCACAGGUAGGACCAGGAAGCACAGAAAUGCUAGGAUGGGGGCAGAAAUGAGCCGAGGAGGAGGCAGGGGCAGUAGCUAGGCAGGUGGGUGAGGCGAGAAGGAAAAGGCGGAAGAGAAAGGGACAGAGUGAGGGCGGAGGAAAGUGCUGUGAGAUUGGGGUCUGAAGGGACCUGGCGGGGUGGAGAGAGGCUGAGGGGAGAGGGCAGAAUAAGUCUGACGAUGGAAAAGUCCAGGGAUCGGGGAGACAUUGAAGGGAGUCGGGGAGGGGGUCCCAGACCCGGCAAGAAGUCUGACCCGGAGAGUUCCAGGGUCAGACCAGACCCCGAGGCGAGUCUGAUGAAGGUGAAGUCCGGGCCCGGGGAGCCUGGGGGGAGCCCGUGGCAAGUCUGAAGGGGCCGGGCAGCCUCACCGCGCUUGUUUUUGGUGCCGUGCUUCUUGGCGGCCGUCAGCUCCUGCUCGAUUUUCUUCUCCAGGAACUCCUGUUUCUUGCUUAACAUCUCUUCCGUGUCCCGCAGCCGCUGGAUGGCCUCCUGGGGGGUCGGGCCGCCCUUGCCGGCCUUACCCCCUCCAGCCCCGAACAGCUUCCCGAACACCGACAUGGUUGCUGCUCGCCGCGCCGGCCUUCGCCGCCCGCUCCGGCUCGGCUCGGCUCGGCUCGGCUCGGGUCGGCUCCGGCGCCCGCUCCCAGUCCCGCCGCUCCCUGCCGCCGCAGGCCUCUCCUCCGCCUCCGCCUCCGCCCCGCAGCUGGGCCCGGCCGCGCCACCUCCCACAGGCCCCCACGCCCGGCCCGGCAGGCGUCAGGGCAACGCGCCACUGACUACAACUCCCAGUGGGCAACGCGCCGGCCGCGCCUCAAAUCUAAUAGGGGGAAGCGUGCUGCAUGCCGGGAAGCUAUAGUCUUCCGGCUUCAGGCGCUCCCCGGCGCGUCUUUUGCUGUAGCUGGGGUCAAAGGGCGUGUGGCAUUCUGGGAAAUGUAGUCUCCUUGGCCUGCGCUCUGUAGGAGUGGCAGAACAGUAAGAGAAAUGACAAAGCAAGAGGAACCUAAUACUCUUCCUCAUUGGCCUUCCUGUCUCCAUCUUUAUUCCUUCCAGCUCAUUCUCUACAUGACACUGUGAAUGCCAAACUGUCUGGAGGCUGCCAUGAGCGGCCAAUUUGUGAUCUCUGCUUUACCUGAAUUAUUUCCGUGAAUUGUGACAUCAACCUCGCCAGAUCUUCCUGCUGUUAAACCCGUCCUGGGGCAGCUCUUGCCUGAUGGGCUACCUGAGGAACCCACAGGAAAUCAAGGGAGGUGCCUGCAAAGUUGCCGUGGGGUCACAGCCUGCCCUUUGGAAGGGGCUGUUUCUGGGCUGCUGUGACUUCCUGCCAUUAUUUCCUCUCUGUUCUCCCUCUGGAAUGAAUAAAGUACUUCUGAAAAACCAUC
rnacentral:lncRNA from 1 species